rnacentral:rRNA from 1 species
AACGAACGCUGGCGGCAUGCCUAACACAUGCAAGUCGAACGAAGCCUUCGGGCUUAGUGGCGCACGGGUGCGUAACGCGUGGGAAUCUGCCCUUGGGUUCGGAAUAACAGUUAGAAAUGACUGCUAAUACCGGAUGAUGUCUUCGGACCAAAGAUUUAUCGCCCAAGGAUGAGCCCGCGUAGGAUUAGGUAGUUGGUGGGGUAAUGGCCCACCAAGCCGACGAUCCUUAGCUGGUCUGAGAGGAUGAUCAGCCACACUGGGACUGAGACACGGCCAGACUCCUACGGGAGGCAGCGGUGGGGAAUAUUGGACAAUGGGCGAAAGCCUGAUCCAGCAAUGCCGCGUGAGUGAUGAAGGCCUUAGGGUUGUAAAGCUCUUUUACCAGGGAUGAUAAUGACAGUACCUGGAGAAUAAGCUCCGGCUAACUCCGUGCCAGCCGCCGCAGUAA